AAAAGAGGAAGAAACUAAGGCCGAGGGUGAAUUUCUGCUAUUGGCUUCUCUCUUGGGAGCUGCGGUGUUCUCAACGUCAGUUUCCUGGGUCAUGAAGGACCCCUGGUUUGCCCAUGCUUUGUUUCAAAUUCUUUCGCCCAUAAGCAGUAGACACCUUUCUUCAUCCUUUUAGCUGUUCCUCACUAGGCUACCACUGGCCAGACAUCUUAAACUUUCUCACUGAGGCUGGGGCUCCGGAGUCUCCGGGGUUCUUGUCGUUACCCUGGCUGCAACACAGGUGUCCCUCAGAGAGCUGGGGCACCAGAGCUGAUGAGAAAUCAAAAAACUUUCGCUCGCCCUAAGCAUCUGCGGUCAGUCUAAACCAGAGAUAGGAGUCUUUGCAGCAACACACGCACGUUUUGUCCUGGGCUCUGCCCCCAUCCCGCUGCACACACCCUGGGAGCCACCUUUCGGCAGAACAUCCCUCCCCCCGCACCCGUUACUAUCCUCAAGUCCGGCAAUCGGGGCGGGAGGGCUCCCGGUGCGCCUCUGGCUCGCGCGGCCUCCGCCCGAGCUGCGUGGCCGCGUGCGCACCGGGCGCUCGAGUCUCCGAGCAUGGCAGAUUUCCACCGGAUGACAUCAUGGGAGCGAGUGAGUGCCGGCUCUACCCGGGGCGGGGGUUGGGGGGGGGUGGGGGCGAAGGGGAGGGGAAAGGAGGGGAGAGGCUGCGAAGCAGAGCCAGAGCUGCUGCCUGGGGCCGGCUGUCUGUCCGCCAGCCGGGGAGGAGCGCUCCGGCCGCCGCUGACAAAGGAUGGGAGGAUGCCUGCACCCCGGGAUUCGGGCUGCGCGAAGCCCGGCGGUCGCCUGAGCGGCUUCGUUUCCCUCCGCUGCUGGACAGACGUCCUGAACCACAGCAUCUCUGGCCAUGGGACAUUUACACCUCCUCUUUGCUCUGCUUCUUGGUUCGCUCUACAUGAACGGACUUAUAUCUGGGAUUUGUAUAUUCAGCAAGUAUUUACUGAGUGUGAUAAAGAAGGAGUGGAGCUGCAGGGAUAG
rnacentral:lncRNA from 1 species